rnacentral:rRNA from 1 species
ACGGAGGGUGCAAGCGUUAAUCGGAAUUACUGGGCGUAAAGCGCACGUAGGCUGUAGUGUAAGUCAGGGGUGAAAUCCCACGGCUCAACCGUGGAACUGCCUUUGAUACUGCACAACUUGAAUCCGGGAGAGGGUGGCGGAAUUCCAGGUGUAGGAGCGAAAUCCGUAGAUAUGUGGAGGAGCAGCAGUGGCGAAGGCGGCAACCUGGACCGAAAUCGACGCUGAGGUGCGAAAGCGUGGGGAGUACACAG